rnacentral:rRNA from 1 species
UCUUAGUGGCGGACGGGUGAGUAACGCGUGGGUAACCUGCCUUACACAGGGGGAUAACACCUGGAAACAGGUGCUAAUACCGCAUAAGCGCACAGGGCCGCAUGGCCCGGUGUGAAAAACUCCGGUGGUGUAAGAUGGACCCGCGUCUGAUUAGCUUGUUGGCGGGGUAGGGGCCCACCAAGGCGACGAUCAGUAGCCGGCCUGAGAGGGUGGACGGCCACAUUGGGACUGAGACACGGCCCAAACUCCUACGGGAGGCAGCAG